rnacentral:rRNA from 1 species
AAGCGUUGUUCGGAAUUAUUGGGCGUAAAGCGCGUGUAGGCGGUUUGUUAAGUCUGGUGUGAAAGCCCCGGGCUCAACCUGGGAAGUGCAUUGGAAACUGGGGAACUUGAAUACGGGAGAGGGUAGUGGAAUUCCUGGUGUAGGAGUGAAAUCCGUAGAUAUCAGGAGGAACACCGGUGGCGAAGGCGGCUACCUGGACCGAUAUUGACGCUGAGACGCGAAAGCGUGGGGAGCAAACAGGAUUAGAUACCCUGGUAGUCCACGCCGUAAACGAUGAGUACUAGGUGUUGCGGGUAUUGACUCCUGCAGUGCC